rnacentral:rRNA from 1 species
GACGAACGCUGGCGGCGUGCUUAACACAUGCAAGUCGAACGGAAAGGCCCUGCUUUUGUGGGGUGCUCGAGUGGCGAACGGGUGAGUAACACGUGAGUAACCUGCCCUUGACUUUGGGAUAACUUCAGGAAACUGGGGCUAAUACCGGAUAGGAGCUCCUGCUGCAUGGUGGGGGUUGGAAAGUUUCGGCGGUUGGGGAUGGACUCGCGGCUUAUCAGCUUGUUGGUGGGGUAGUGGCUUACCAAGGCUUUGACGGGUAGCCGGCCUGAGAGGGUGACCGGGCACAUUGGGACUACGAUACGGCCCGGACUGCUCCGGGAGGCAGCAGUGGGGAAUGUUGCACGAUGGGCGGCAGCCUGAUGCAGCAACGCCGCGUGCGGGAUGACGGCCUUCGGGUUGUAAACCGCUUUCGCCUGGGACGAAGCGUGAGUGACGGUAAUGGGUAAAGAAGCACCGGCUAACUACGUG